CGAAGACUAGUUUUAAAUAUAUUAAAUUUCACAUUUACAAUUGAAGUGAUCAGUACUAACAAAAAUGUUAUUGCAGAUUACAUAUCAAGACAAAGCUACACAGACUGAAAUAGUAGAGGAAGAUACUCUAGAAAAAAUACUUAACACCCUAACUACGCUUUCAAUGAAAGUGGACAGUAUGGGUAAUGAGAUAGAAAAGCUAAAGACUAAUGAAGAUAAACUGAAGUCUAUAGCUACAAAUCAGCUAACUCAGCAAUGUGCAGAGCUAUGUCGAUCGAAAGACAUUAAAAAUCCAGAGCUAGAAGGAGACGUUGGGACACUCCAUAAAACCCAUAACAUUUAUCAAUCUACUUCUGCAGGUACAAGCAAAGGAGUUAAUAGACCAAGAUACCAGAAUGUAAAUAUGAACAAAAUAUUUGAAAAACCAUUUACCCCAAAAGCACAAAAAGACCAUUUAUUCAUACCCCCACAAGUUAACACAUACCGAGACAGCCUAAACCAAGACAAGAAAAUAUACAACUACACAGCCCAAAAAUACAUAGAAAAUAUAUAUAGAGUCCAAACCUUUCUAAACCAUAACCCCAGAGCUACAAAUAUCCAAGAACCAAAUACCAAUUAUAUAACCCAAAAACUACAAGGAUACAAUAAACUGAUAGCACUACCCAAAACUAACCCAAGCCUAGUUAAAACUUGUUUUGACUAUGGACUACUAAAUACCAUAUACACCCAAGACGGAGAAGAGCUAACAGCUAUGGAGGAAUUAUAUAAGAUAUUCACUACCUAUAAAAGAAUAACAAAAGGAAAUUUAUUUUAUAUAAAGUGUUAUACUGCACCAGCAGAGAUAUUAUAUGAUGAGAUAAAACCAGUGAUACAAGUUGUAAAGAUAGGACUGACAAGAGAUAUGAUUAUACCAGAAGAUAUAUCGCAACAACCGGAGAUACCUAGAAUCGAGAUACCAGAUUUUUAUGCAAAUAAAAGACUUAUUGGACUAGCUACGAUCAUACAAGAACUAGCAAAUAACUACGCUAACGGAAAUCCAAUAUGGAGCUACUAUUCAAGAGAUCACCAAAUGAUAUAUUCAAAUUCGAAAGAACUAAGACAAGCAGAUAUGGAAGACGUAAGACAAUGGAUACUGACGCUACUUAACCCAGAAAAACAAUCUACCGCGCGAGCAAUAAAAAAGGGAUUUAUUUCAGACGGACUGCUAACAAGAUACUGUAAGAUAAUCGGACAUAAAUAUCCAGACCACCAAUGUUCGAGGUGCAAUGGAGAAGAUAAUAUUAUUCCAGAGGUACAUCUAGAAUAAAAGAAGAUAAAAUGCCAGCUGGAAAGAUAAGAUAAAGAGCAAUAAUGGAGCAGAUACAGAGCAAUAAUGGAGCAGAUACAGAGCAAUAAUGGAGCAGAUACAGAGCAAUAAUGGAGCAGAUAAAGAGCAAUAAUAGAGCAGAUACGACAAAAAUCAACGGAGACAAGAUACUGUACAAAGACAGAAUUAUUAUUAAUGUAGCAAAAGUCUUACUUGUAAUAGUAGAACAUUAAUUAGGAUGUAGAAAAACUUUACGUAAAAGUUAGAAUAGUUAAGAAAAGAUAGAAUAGGAUAGGCCUUAUGGCCACCAUUUUUGACUUUUUUGGUUUUAGUUUCAGAAAGUAAAACACAAAACUACUAUAAAAAUUGAAUUAAUAGAUAAGAAUAGCAUAAUAACACAAAAACCAUUAACAUAUAAUUUUGAUGAUUUAAAAGAAUUUAAAAUGCACAUAGAUGAAUUAUUAGAAAAACAAUAUAUACAAAAAAGUAAUAGUAAACAUAAUAGUCCAGCAUUUAUAGUAAAUAAACAUAGUGAACAAAAAAGAGGAAAAAGUAGGAUGGUUAUUGACUAUAGAAAUUUAAAUGCAAAAACUAUAACAUAUAAUUAUCCGAUACCAAAUAAGAUAUUAAAAAUAAGACAAAUCCAAGGAUAUAAUUAUUUUAGCAAAUUUGAUUGUAAAUCAGGAUUUUACCACCUAAAGCUAGAAGAAGAAUCUAAAGAAUUAACCGCAUUUACGGUACCACAAGGAUUUUAUGAAUGGAACGUGUUACCAUUUGGAUAUAAAAAUGCACCAGGUAGAUAUCAACAUUUUAUGGAUAAUUAUUUUAAACAAUUAUCUAAUUGUAUAGUAUACAUAGAUGAUAUAUUAUUAUACACCAAAACCAAAGAAGAACAUUUAAAAUUAUUAGAACAAUUCACAGAUAUAAUAGAAAAAUCAGGAAUAAGUCUAAGCAAAAAGAAAGCUGAAAUUAUGAAAAACCAGAUAGAAUUUUUAGGAAUACAAAUAGAUAAAAGUGGAGUAAAAAUGCAACAACAUAUAGUACAAAAAAUAAUAAAUUCGAAAGAAGAAUUAGAUACAAAAAAGAAAUUACAAUCAUUUUUAGGAUUAGUAAACCAAGUAAGAGAAUAUAUUCCAAAAUUAGCAGAAACUUUAAAACCACUACAGAAAAAAUUAAAAAAGGAUAUAGAAUAUAAUUAUGAUGAAAAAGAUAAAAAACAAGUUCAAAAAAUAAAAUUACUUUGUAGAGAAUUACCAAAAUUGCAAUUUCCAGAUGAAAAUAGAAAAUUUAUAUAUAUAGUAGAAGCAGAUGCUAGUGAAUAUAGUUACGGAGGAGUACUUAAAUAUCGAUAUGAAGCAGAAAAAAUAGAACACCAUUGUAGAUACUACUCAGGUACGUUCAACGAGACAGAAAUAAAAUGGGAAAUAAAUAGGAAAGAAUUAUGUUCAUUAUAUAAAUGUUUAUUAGCAUUUGAGCCAUAUAUUGUAUAUAACAAAUUUAUUGUACGAACAGAUAAUACACAGGUACGUUGGUGGUUAACAAAGAAAAUACAAAAUUCAGUUACAACAAAAGAGAUUCGGAGACUAGUCUUGAAUAUAUUAAAUUUCACAUUUAUAAUUGAAGUAAUUAGUACUAACAAAAAUGUUAUUGCAGAUUAAAUAUCAAGACAAAGCUACACAGACUGAUAUAAUAGAAGAAGAUACUCUAGAAAAAAUACUCAACACCCUAACCACGCUUUCAAUGAAAGUGGACAAGUGGACAGUAUGGGUAAUGAGAUAGAAAAGCUAAAGACUAAUGAAGAUAAACUGAAAUCUAUAGCUACAAAUCAGCUAACUCAGCAGUGUGCAGAGCUAUGUC
rnacentral:lncRNA from 1 species